UCAGAAUCCAACUCUAUUAGUUCACUUGUAGAAAUAACCUGCAGGCAGCCUAUACUUGCACUGCUAAAGUACCAGAAUUAACUUAGGUGAAUGGAAUCCACAAAGAGAAGUCCUGUUAAAGGCAUAAUUGAAUAAGAACUGGUUGCCUUUCUUAAAUUCUUGAGAGUAUCUUCCAUAUUUGUCUCUCAACUCCAGAAUGGCUAACAAAAGGAUCUUUCAAAUA